UGUGGAGGGCGCUUAUUUUAUAAUCUCCGAACAUCUGUCGGAGAGAAAACGGUGAGGAAAGAAAAUAAUAUCAGCUGUGACGUGCGCCUGCAUUUUUAUACCAGGACAUAGAUCUAAGACGAGCAUAUUAUGCAAGGAAGCAGAAAGGGGAUUGUUUUCUCAAGGAAGAAAUGUCACUUGGAAAAAUGACCUUCACCAUUUGCCCAUCACCGAAAACUAAUAGAUUUGUUAAAACAACAUUUCUUGGUUGACAUAAGUGUGGAACCUCCUUCCCUCCACUCGUAUAGAAUGGAAUACAUCAGGUUUCAUCACUGCUAGUUUUUAAAUACUUUUGUUCUGUAUAUAGGAAAAAAUAAUUAAAAUAAACGUAGUGUUAAAAUAUUCUUCCCAAAGAAUUAACCUAGAAGUUUAUGAAAUGGUUAAGGUUAUAGACAACAUCAAAUUAUUUAAAAAGUUAAAAGAAAAAAGGUAGCAAAGAAUUGCACAAAGACUCUCAAUGGCAGAAUAAGUAUUUAACAAAUGUGGUUCCACACAUACAUAUAAAGUAGAAAAGGAAACAUUUUUCUUCCUCAUGCUACUAGAAUCCAGGGUCUCCCAAUUAAACUGAACAGUGAAAAAUUCUGGAACAAAUGAUGUUAAUGAUUUAUUAAAUUUAUAUGAUGCUCGACUGCCUAGUGAAAUACACAUUCAUAAGUACAUAAAGAAUUAAAUUCACUUCUAUAUGGUAAUUGGAGAAAUGAAUGAAGCAUAACAUUAGCAAAUCAAUCAGAAUACCGUAAAUGCCGGCAUAUAAGACGACUUCCGCGAGCACUGAAAUCGGCGCCAAAGACGGGGGUCGUCUUAUACGCCGAGUCGUCUUAUACACCGGAAAUACUGGUAGUUUCCGGCGUAUAAGACGACGUUCUAGGAAUGUGGCCCGGCUAUAAAGACAGGGGUCGUCUUAUACGCCGGGUCGCCUAGUACGGCGGCAUAUACGGUAACUGUAUGUGGCCUUCAGUAUCAGUGUGAAAAUGAUGGUCUACUCAUCCUACGUAUAGACUUCCUGUAGUCAUCUAGUUCAGGGGCCCCCAACCCCUGGUCCGUAGACCGAUACUGGGCCGCGGCAUGCCAGCAACCGGGCCGCACAAACAAACAAAGCCCUAUCCGCAGGAUGCAGGCAGCACACAAAACCACGCCCCCUCCGAUCCGUGGAAAAACCUCUCUCCAUGGAACUGGUCCCUGGUGCCCAAAAGGUUGGGGACCUCUGAUCUAGUUCAUUCACUCAUUCAGUGUUAGCAGGGCAAAAGAAUAAGCAAAAACAAAAAAGCCAGUGCUUCUCUUAAGACAAUUGAAACUAGUUGACAAUAAUGUAAGGCAACGAUGAGAAGAAAAAGGGGCACUAAAGAUGCAGGAAGGAAGAGGAUUUAAAACAGAAUUAUAUUCUUAUAGAGACUAUACUAGGUCUAAAAACACUGGAUUAUUAUGCAUAAUAUCUAUACUUCACACUGCACAAGUCAAUUUGUUACCCAACUAACAAAAUGUUAAAGAGAUUUUCAUAUCAGGUGAAGAAUUGUUUUCCCUUAUAUAGUUUAUUUGGUCUUAUUUGAUCAGAAGUGACAUAAUUUCUUUAAAGUCACUUACAAGUGCAGAAUUCUAAAGUUUCAUCAUGUUUUUAGGUCCCCUUUGUUUAUUUUUACUUUUAUUAUGAUUUUUGUUAGGCUUGUCAAUAAUAUUGCUAAUGAAGAUUUUUAUCAUGCUUGUUCUGUUUUCAGAGCUCAUGUUUAGAACUACUCUUAUUGGCAAUCUAGGAAAACAUUAAAUGUAUAUAUGUAUGAACGAUUUGAUCAUUCCUUUCUAGACCUUUAAUUCAUUUGUGAGAAGUAGCUAAUUGGGAGCCCUAGAAAGUGCACCUGCUGUUGUUAUAAGUGAUGUUUGCAGUCCAUGUUCAAUGUAAAAACACAAUGUCAAUAGGCAAAAUCAAAAUCUUUAGAGUGAAGAUCAUCCUGGAAUUUGUGCCUAAUAAAUCAACUCCCAAAACUGAACUAUUUGGAAAUGGAUUUACUGAUGCUUGCCUCUUCACUUGCAUAUAACAAAUGCAGUAAAGUAUAUGAUAACAAUAUAAUUUUAUAUGUUUUUAUAUAUCAAUUAUAUUAUAUUGUACUCUUCCCAGAACCCCCCAUUGAGGGAAAUACAGGUACUUUAGAAAUAUGAAAAACAAGCAAGCUAACAAACAAAAAAUAAAUUGACACUUUUUACCUCUGCCAAAUCUAGACAAGUUAUACUUCUUAAAUCAUGGGAAGUUAGAUUUGCAGGUUGUAUUGCUAAAUUUCUGAAAAUUGAGAUAUUGCACUAAAACCAGGAAAGAAAGCAGAACCUUAAAAAAGGGUGUGUUUUUUUUUACAAAUGUGUUUAUUGUUUGCUAAAAAUUAUAUAAAAUCAAAAUAAUGCCUCCAUGGAGAAGUUCACAUAGUAAUUUUGUGGAUCAGCUAAAGUUGGCUACAGUUUGGCAUAUCUAUGGCAUUAUUAUAAGUCAUUUUAUCAUAUACAUAAAUUCAAAUGUACAAAUGUAAGUAUAUUUUUUAAAAAGUGCAUCUGAAUCCUUUGCAAACUAUUACAUGUCCAGUAAAUAUAUUCUUUCCUAUUUCUUUUCUGUAGAGUUCUGGAGUUAUAUUUUUGGGUUUUUUUGGCAAUGAUUUUGAGUUGAUGGGCAGUCUUGGUCUUUGGAUAACAUGUUGGUAUGGGACCCAUAUUCCUAUGUGUGUCCCAUACAAAAAAAGUCAAAUUUGAUUUGAUUAAAUUUGAAAUUAGUUUACUUAAUUAGCAGGACAUUCCACCACAGAUCUCUAAGUAAUUUGAAAAAAAAUGUUAUCGAUGAAGUUGAGGGAGAAACUCAGGUCUCAAUUGGUUUUUAACACAUUAUCAUAAAAUGCUUAUAACAAAAUACUUCUAAUGUAUCUUAUUAUAUUAUAUCUACCCUGUCUUUCUGUCUUUUUACUCUUCCAUCCCUAUUUAAAUUGUACUUCAGUCAUGUCCCUCCAUGCAUCUGAAAAAAUGAGCUGGGUUCAUAAAAGCUUAUGCCUUUUAAUAAAAUGUCUUUUUUGUAUAACUUUUAUAGAAGAAAUUUUAAUAAAGUAAAAAAUAAAAGAAAAUAAAGAUACUAAAGAAAAA